CAGUAGCCGCGGUAAUACGAAGGGGGCUAGCGUUGUUCGGAUUUACUGGGCGUAAAGGGUGCGCAGGCGGACUGAUAAGUCAGGGGUGAAAUCCCAAGGCUCAACCUUGGAACUGCCUUUGGUACUGUUAGUCUUGAGUUCGAGAGAGGUGAGUGGAACUGCGAGUGUAGAGGUGAAAUUCGUAGAUAUUCGCAAGGACACCAGUGGCGAAGGCGGCUCACUGGCUCGAAACUGACGCUGAGGCACGAAAGCGUGGGGAGCAAACAGGAUUAGAUACCCGUGUAGUCCCUGUCUCUUAUAA
rnacentral:rRNA from 1 species